CCUACGGGAGGCAGCAGUGAGGAAUAUUGGUCAAUGGACGAGAGUCUGAACCAGCCAAGCCGCGUGAAGGAUGACUGCCCUAUGGGUUGUAAACUUCUUUUAUAAAGGAAUAAAACGAGGCACGUGUGCCUUUCUGCAUGUACUUUAUGAAUAAGGAUCGGCUAACUCCGUGCCAGCAGCCGCGGUAAUACGGAGGAUCCGAGCGUUAUCCGGAUUUAUUGGGUUUAAAGGGAGCGUAGAUGGGUUGUUAAGUUAGUUGUGAAAGUUUGCGGCUCAACCGUAAAAUUGCAAUUGAUACUGGCAGUCUUGAGUACAGUUGAGGUAGGCGGAAUUCGUGGUGUAGCGGUGAAAUGCUUAGAUAUCACGAAGAACCCCGAUUGCGAAGGCAGCUUACUAAGCUGUGACUGACAUUGAUGCUCGAAAGUGUGGGUAUCAAACAGGAUUAGAUACCCUAGUAGUC
rnacentral:rRNA from 1 species